AGCGAACGCUGGCGGCAGGCUUAACACAUGCAAGUCGAGCGGGGACUUUCGGGUCUCAGCGGCGGACGGGUGGGUAACGCGGGGUAACGUGCCCUCUGGUUCGGAAUAACUCAGGGGAACUUGAGCUAAUACCGGAUACGCCCUUUUGGGGAAAGGCUUGCUGCCGGAGGAUCGGCCCGCGUCUGAUUAGCUAGGUGGUGAGGUAACGGCUCACCAAGGCGACGAUCAGUAGCUGGUCUGAGAGGAUGAUCAGCCACACUGGGACUGAGACACGGCCCAGACUCCUACGGGAGGCAGCAGUGGGGAAUAUUGGACAAUGGGCGCAAGCCUGAUCCAGCCAUGCCGUGUGAGUGAUGAAGGCCUUAGGGUUGUAAAGCUCUUUUAUCCGGGACGAUAAUGACGGUACCGGAGGAAUAAGCCCCGGCUAACUUCGUG
rnacentral:rRNA from 1 species